CAUGGCAACAUUGAUGUCUUUAGACCACCCAUGUGGAAGCCUGCAGCUGAUGUCACAAUGGGUUCCCAUGGCAACACUGAUGUCACAAUACCAGCUGUGUGUGCGUAACCGUUACAACUUGGGGAAACACUUCAGAUUGCUUUUUAGAGCAGAAACGUAACGACCAUCUACCACAAUGGCGCCCAGAUUCUGUGAUUGUAUCCUGGACUGUGUGAGAGGUGUCUGCGCACCGUUCAGGUACAAGAAGAAGAAGCCUGGAAAGUUUGCCCAUAUGGAGACGGUCGUUUACGUGGCAAAGGACGAAUCCAUAACUUUUCUCCCAACGGGGACUAGUUAUUAGGAUUCGUAGGUAAGUAGUUAGGUAAGUAAUUAGGUUAGGAAUAAAAAAAAAAA